rfam:Oryza glumipatula chromosome 4, whole genome shotgun sequence.
AAAAAGUCAAAUCUUAAAUUUCCGUGUCCAAAUUUGACUGUCCGUCUUAUAUGAAAUUUUUUUAUAAUUCGUAUUUUCAUUGUUGUUAGAUGAUAAAACAUGAUUAAUAUUUUAUGCGUGACUUAUCUUUUUAAUUUUUUCAAAUAAGACGGACGGUUAAAUGUUAGACACGGAAAUUAGGG